rnacentral:rRNA from 1 species
GCACAAGCGGUGGAGCAUGUGGUUUAAUUCGAUGGUACGCGAGGAACCUUACCAGGCUUGACAUACGCCGGAAGCGCAUCGAAAGGUGCGUGCCGCUUGCGGCCGGCGUACAGGUGCUGCAUGGCUGUCGUCAGCUCGUGCUGUGAAGUGUUGGGUUAAGUCCCGCAACGAGCGCCAACCCCUGCUGCCUGUUGCCACCACGAGAGGUGGGGACUCAGGCGGGACCGCCGGUGACAAACCGGAGGAAGGUGGGGACGACGUCAAGUCAUUAUGGCCCUUAUGUCCUGGGCUACACACGUGCUACAAUGGCCGGUACAGAGCGCAGCGAGGCCGCGAGGCGGAGCGAAUCGCUUAAAGCCGGUCCCAGUACGGAUUGGAGUCUGCAACCCGACUCCAUGAAGUUGGAAUCGCUAGUAAUCGCGCAUCAGCAUGGCGCGGUGAAUACGUUCCCGGGCCUU